GACCUGGUGGUGAAUGGAUCACACCCACCCUUCUUAUGUGCUCGCUGAUAUUGUGAGGUGGGAGCUCCCGGUUCGAUUCCGGGUCAGGUCA